GGGAGAGUUGGUCAGUGAGGAGAGAAAGGAAGCAUCAUUAACAGUUGAAGGUCUUUUGCCUCUGGGAUCUCUAGAGAGCACGAGGUCUGCCUCUGAGGCAAGGGUCUGCUGGCAGUUGGCUACUGAAAACUGAUUGAAGGAUGCCGGACCAUUUAAAUGGAGAGGCAGCAAGGGAUACUGGGGAAAGCUCGGGAUUCCAGGUUAGUGCUCCUGGUUAGUCACCUCCUGCGUGACUUUGGAAAAAAAUGGCACACCCCUCCAUUAUCUUUACCAAGACAACGCCAUGCAUAGUUUUGAUGUGCCAAAGGGUUACGAAACAUCAGGAACAACUGGACAACCACAUUUUAAAAAUCUAUCUUUUAGUGUAAAGUAACAAUAAAACUAUCACAUGUUAAUAUAGAUGGUAUUUUAUGAAAACAACUAUAUAUAAAAAUAACUAUACCUUCCAAAACAAUAAAAUUCAAGUGGCAUUGCUUUACAUAUUUUUACAAAUCUCUAAUGUCUCCCUUACUAGAAGACAGCUGGAUUCUCAUCUGUUCCUACAGCCAAACUGUUGCCAUCUGUUAUUUGGGUUGGGGCGUAUGAAGAAAAUCUGGUCGCAUGCAGAUAACGUAGUUGGAAAAGGGAGGAGUAUUUUAACAUGUCGUUGUUGUUUUUACUCAGUUGUUUCAAUUGUGUCCGAUUCUUUGUGACAUCACUUGGGGUUUUCUUGGCAGAGAUACUGGAGUGGUUUGCCAUUUCCUUCUCCAGCUCAUUUUAUAGAUGAGGAAACGGAGGCCAACAGGGAUAAGUGACUUGAAAGGGUCACACAGUAAGUUUCUGAAGCAAGACUGGAACUCGGGAAGAUGAGUCUUCCUGACUCCAGGCCCAGCACUCUAUCCACUGUGCCACUGAGCUGCCCCAAUGGGUAGUUACGUCUUCUUAUUAUUCUGAAAAUACUUUUGACUUCACAAAAGCCCUGGAAGAGUCUUAGGAAAGCCAGGGGUAGUUAGGCCACACUUUGAGAACUGCUUCACUACAUCAUUAUGUAUCUCUACCCAAAAUAAAAAUUUUAAACCCCAAAAUAUAUAACAAAUAUAACAAAUAUAUCAUAUA